rnacentral:rRNA from 1 species
GCAAGUCGAGCGCAGUCCUUCGGGACCGAGCGGCGGACGGGUUAGUAACGCGUUGGAACAUACCCUUUUCUACGGAAUAGCCUCGGGAAACUGAGAGUAAUACCGUAUAAGCCCUUCGGGGGAAAGAUGUAUCGGGAAAGGAGUGGCCCGCGUUAGAUUAGAUAGUGGGUGGGGUAAUGGCCUACCAAGUCGACGAUCUAGAGCUGGUUUUAGAGGAGGAGC